rfam:Gemmatimonas phototrophica strain AP64, complete genome.
GGGCCUGUAGCUCAGGUGGUUAGAGCGCACGCCUGAUAAGCGUGAGGUCCGAGGUUCAACUCCUCGCAGGCCCA